GAAAAUGACUGAGCGGCGAACGGGUGAGUAACGCGUGAGCAAUCUACCUUAGUUACAGGGAUAGCCCGAGGAAACUCGGAUUAAUACCUGAUAUUCUUUAUUUCUCGCAUGAGAAUAAAAGGAAAGGUCNGCCGAACUAAGAUGAGCUCGCGUUCUAUCAGCUAGUUGGUGAGGUAAAAGCUUACCAAGGCUACGACGGAUAGCUGGUCUGAGAGGACGAUCAGCCACACUGGGACUGAGACACGGCCCAGACUCCUACGGGAGGCUGCAGCAGGGAAUAUUGUGCAAUGAACGAAAGUUUGACACAGCGACACCGCGUGUGGGAUGACGGAUCUAGGUUUGUAAACCACUUUCAGGAGGGAAGAAAAUGACGGUACCUCCACAAGAAGCCCCGGCCAACUACGUGCCAGCAGCCGCGGUAAUACGUAGGGGGCGAGCGUUGUCCGGAUUUAUUGGGCGUANAGAGCUCGUANGCGGUUCAACAAGUCGGUCGUGAAAGUUCAGGGCCUCAACCCUGAAAUGUCGAUCGAUACUGUUGGUGACCUAGGAUACCGGUAAAAGGUGAGU
rnacentral:rRNA from 1 species